UACGUAGGGUGCAAGCGUUGUCCGGAAUUAUUGGGCGUAAAGAGCUCGUAGGCGGUCUGUCACGUCGGCUGUGAAAACCCGGGGCUCAACCCCGGGCCUGCAGUCGAUACGGGCAGACUAGAGUGCGGUAGGGGAGACUGGAAUUCCUGGUGUAGCGGUGAAAUGCGCAGAUAUCAGGAAGAACACCCGUGGCGAAGGCGGUUCUCUGGGACGGUACUGACGCUGAGACGCGAAAGCGUGGGGAGCGAACAGG
rnacentral:rRNA from 1 species